rnacentral:hammerhead_ribozyme from 1 species
AGACAUCUGACAAGUCCCAAAUAAGACGAAAUGCGCAUCCUGGAU